rfam:Geosporobacter ferrireducens strain IRF9, complete genome.
AAUCGUUUAUCGGGGAGCUGGAAGAAUCCGGCUGAGAGGAAGGUCUAUUGAUCCUUCGACCCGCAUACCUGAUCUGGGUAAUGCCAGCGUAGGAAGUAUAAUAUAUAUUUUG